UUACAUAAUAGGAGAUAACAUAUACUUACAGGUGCCUAUUUUCAGAGUAAUAUUUUUUAUUUCAGAACAACUACUCUUCAGUAACCUGUACUUUUUGAAGUAAAUGUUGUAAAUUUUCUUGAAUUUAGUACUUUCGACUCUCUAUAUAAGGCCAGCUAUAUAUAAGCAUGUUGAAAUCCCACACGCAACCUCUGUCAUCCAGCCCAGCUACCUAACAAACUACACGCCUUCUCAACCCCUCUACCCAUCCCACCCCACCCCUACCCCACCCCACCCCCACCCGACAUCUUCUUCUUUAACCCCUCUCUUUACCCCCCAAACCUUCUUGAAUCUCUUCUUCCUCAACUCAUACUUAGGAGGAAGGGAGGGCUGUCAUCUUUGCACGUGUCCCAAUAAUCUUCUCCAUUGAUCAAGAGGGAAGAUGUGAGGAGGACAAAAAUGGAAUUAUCAAAGAUUUUUGCGUAUGGUUACUAUAACUGGCAAUGGAUGAUCCAAUGGCGUGAAGAUUUCUCAGUAUUUCUUCAGAGGUGAAAUUACCAAUUUGCCCCGUCAUUAGGGGCAACUUAUGAGAGAGAGGUGUGGAUUGAUUAGUACCAAUGAUUGAUUGACUUAUUUCAUAUAUAUAAUAGUAAUAUAUUGGUACCCUUUUGUUUUA